rnacentral:rRNA from 1 species
UACGUAGGGACCAAGCGUUGUUCGGAUUUACUGGGCGUAAAGGGCGCGUAGGCGGCAAUUCAAGUCAUCUGUGAAAUCUCCGGGCUUAACUCGGAACGGUCAGAUGAUACUGCUUUGCUCGAGUGCGGAAGGGGCAAUCGGAAUUCUUGGUGUAGCGGUGAAAUGCGUAGAUAUCUGGAGGAACACCGGUGGCGAAGGCGGCAUCCUGGACCAACACUGACACUGAGGAGCGAAAGCCAGGGGAGCAAACGGG